GUAUGCACAGUGCUUGGAGAUGUCAGUAUAUUCGUUGUUGGCAAGGAUGAAUACGAUGAACUUGGCUUGUCAUAACCUCAACCAUGAAGGAUGUAUGUGAGGAACCUCCAACCGAAUGCCCUUUCCUCGACAAAUAUGGCAAAAUAUGUCUGUGCCCGGACGAGAUUGUCUGGAAGGGUCUGAUGGAGAACACAGACAAAGACAGGAUCAAGAGACUUGUACGAUUAAAACGACAAACUGGUUUCUAAUCGACAGACCACAUGCAUUUUUGCUACGAUUGCUGCGUGGAAAAUGCUCAUUCAUGGAUUUAUGUCGUGAUAAUCUUCUGCAGAUUGUUUGAAUGUUUUACUCCUUUAAUUUG